UUAGCAGAAUGGGGUAACAGAGAAGGCA
rnacentral:piRNA from 1 species